rnacentral:rRNA from 1 species
GUAGGAAUACCCGCUGA